rnacentral:rRNA from 1 species
UGGGGAAUAUUGCACAAUGGGGGAAACCCUGAUGCAGCGACGCCGCGUGAGCGAAGAAGGUUUUCGAAUCGUAAAGCUCUGUCCUAUGGGAAGAUAAUGACGGUACCAUAGGAGGAAGCCCCGGCUAACUACGUGCCAGCAGCCGCGGUAAUACGUAGGGGGCAAGCGUUGUCCGGAAUCACUGGGCGUAAAGGGUUCGCAGGCGGAAAUGCAAGUCAGUUGUGAAAGGCAGAGGCUCAACCUCUGUAAGCAAUUGAAACUGUAUUUCUUGAGCUGUGGAGAGGCAAGUGGAAUUCCUAGUGUAGCGGUGAAAUGCGUAGAUAUUAGGAAGAAUACCGGUGGCGAAGGCGACUUGCUGGACACAAACUGACGCUGAGGAACGAAAGCGUGGGUAGCAAACAGG